GCGCUCACUUCGAUAGCACAUAUUUUAAAAUUGGAACGAUAUAGAGAUUAGCAUGGCCCCUGUGCAAGGAUGAUAGGCAAAUUUGUGAAGCGUUCCGUAUUUUU
rnacentral:snRNA from 1 species